rnacentral:ncRNA from 1 species
UGCGCAGCGCGUGCUUCACCACCACCGUGCCGAAGGAAAGCCCCUUCAGCCGCGCGGUGCGGAUAUAUUGCUGCGUCAUCACCUCGACCAUCGAGGCGCGCGUCAUGCGGGCGAUGUAGCCGAUGCCGUAGAUCGCCAUCGUCAACACCGGCAGGGUGAAGUUGUAGAAACUGAUGCCCUGCAUGGUCGCGCUC